UUCAAUUGUGGCUAUAUCUCA
rnacentral:siRNA from 1 species